UUAAACUCAGCCGACGGUGUACGU
rnacentral:siRNA from 1 species